rnacentral:rRNA from 1 species
UACGUAGGGUGCAAGCGUUGUCCGGAAUUAUUGGGCGUAAAGAGCUCGUAGGCGGUCUGUCGCGUCGGAUGUGAAAAUCCAGGGCUCAACCCUGGACCUGCAUUCGAUACGGGCAGACUAGAGUUCGGCAGGGGAGACUGGAAUUCCUGGUGUUGCGGUGAAAUGCGCAGAUAUCAGGAGGAACACCGGUGGCGAAGGCGGGUCUCUGGGCCGAUACUGACGCUGAGGAGCGAAAGCGUGGGGAGCGAACAGG